rnacentral:misc_RNA from 1 species
UGGUUCUGGCAUCGAUGAAGAACGCAGCGAAAUGCGAUAAGUAAUGUGAAUUGCAGAAUUCAGUGAAUCAUCGAAUCUUUGAACGCACAUUGCGCCCGCUAGUAUUCUAGCGGGCAUGCCUGUUCGAGCGUCAUUUCAACCCUCAAGCCCUCGCGGCUUGGUGUUGGGGAUCGGCCGCAAGCCUUCACGGCAGGCGGCCGGCCCCGAAAUCUAGUGGCGGUCUCGCUGUAGUCCCCCUCUGCGUAGUAGCACACCUCGCACUGGAAGCUCGGCCUGACCACGCCGUAAAACCCCCCACUUCUGAAGGUUGACCUCGGAUCAGGUAGGAAUACCCGCUGA